rnacentral:rRNA from 1 species
GAUGAACGCUGCCAGAAUGCUUAACACAUGCAAGUCAACUUGAAUUUGGGUUUUUAACUUAGGUUUGGGUGGCGGACGGGUGAGUAACGCGUAAAGAACUUGCCUCACAGCUAGGGACAACAUUUGGAAACGAAUGCUAAUACCUAAUAUUAUGAUAAUAGGGCAUCCUAUAAUUAUGAAAGCUAUAAGCGCUGUGAGAGAGCUUUGCGUCCCAUUAGCUAGUUGGAGAGGUAACGGCUCACCAAGGCGAUGAUGGGUAGCCGGCCUGAGAGGGUGAUCGGCCACAAGGGGACUGAGACACGGCCCUUACUCCUACGGGAGGCAGCAGUUGGGAAUAUGGGACAAUGGACCGAGAGUCUGAUCCAGCAAUUCUGUGUGCACGAUGAAGUUUUUCGGAAUGUAAAGUGCUUUCAGUUGGGAAGAAACAAAUGACGGUACCAACAGAAGAAGUGACGGCUAAAUACGUG